UACAGAGGGGGCAAGCGUUGUUCGGAAUUACUGGGCGUAAAGGGCGCGUAGGCGGCCUGCUAAGUCGAACGUGAAAUCCCCGGGCUCAACCCGGGAACUGCGUCCGAUACUGGUUGGCUCGAAUUCGGGAGAGGGAUGUGGAAUUCCAGGUGUAGCGGUGAAAUGCGUAGAUAUCUGGAGGAACACCGGUGGCGAAGGCAGGUCUCUGGGCAUUAACUGACGCUGAGGAGCGAAAGCAUGGGGAGCGAACAGG
rnacentral:rRNA from 1 species